rnacentral:lncRNA from 1 species
AUUUUAUUUGUUUCCAAAAAUUAGGAGAGCAUUGAGAAGGACCUGGGACACAAGCAGCAGGGGUUGUUGGGGCACCAAGAGGUCACUGCCCCUCAUGGCCACCUGUCCAGGCACCUGGCACUGGAGUUUGCCUGCCGGGAGAGGAUGCUCAGCUUCUCUGGGCCCUGCAGAUCACCUGGGAAAGCUAACACAGAUGAGAUGACGGCUCAACUCCAGGCAUCCAGGGGGAGCUUGUGCCCACUUGGCAAACAGAACUCAAGAAUCCAGCUGUGUGAGGGGUCCUGCCACACCCAGGCAUCGCCCUCCUUACCCCAAAUUGAGUACCAGAAUUAAGAAGAAGCACAGGCCAUGGAAUGAUACAGCAGACUCAAUAUAAAUAAAAUAUUCAUAUAAAAAUAGUCUCUUACAAAAUAUUCUCUCUUACCCAGUGGCUUACUUUCUGAAAGAUGGAAACUGCUAGGAAUUUAUUAUUAUUUUUCCUCUCUAUAUAUUCCAGACUGGAUAUUUCUAAUGGUGACAUUUGAACUUGGUGGGGAUAGGGGGGCAAAAGAAUGGGAAACAUACUCUGGAAAAAACAUCUCCAAAUCUAGACCAGCUUAAAUUUCUGGAUAAGUAGCAGCAAACAGCAAAAAAAAAAAAAAAUGUGUGUGUAUAUAGAUCUAUAUAUGUAUAAAGGAUGCCUGCUCUUGUACUUAAACAUCUAGUGCUGCGGGGGGCGGGUACUUGCAAAAUCGACUAGUAGAAAUGUCUGCAUAAAGAAUAGUUAUGUACAGUUUUACACGGCUCCUCAUCCUAGCAACACAAUCAUCCCGCUAGGAAAGCAAGCAGUCCACUUUGAUUGCAGAAAACGGAUCCCGACGAGGUGGAAGAAUUCUUUUUAAUUAAAUAAAUUAAUAUUAUUUUUAUCAGAAUAAACUGUUAAAUAUUGCUACGGUGAGGCCCAGGGUUCCAGAGUUCCUGCUGCAAAAGGCUUCACUCCAGCGGAAGAGGGACCUGGGCUGUGUCUGGGGGAGGGUGGAGCAGCAUUGGGUGUGGAACAGAAUAGCUGAGGGCUCUGAGAGAUUUUUUUUCCCGCAGAUACCUGCAGGAAACCCAGGAAAAGUACCCUCCUCAGCAGAAAAGACAAGCUCAGAAUUUCUGUGGUUCCC